GCGCCUGUAGCCUAACGGAUAGGGCUGUGGCCUUCGGAGCCAUAGGUGCGGGUUCGACUCCUGCCAGGCGCG
rnacentral:tRNA from 1 species